rnacentral:rRNA from 1 species
GACGUAGGGAGCGAGCGUUGUCCGGAUUCAUUGGGCGUAAAGCGCGUGUAGGCGGCCAGGUAGGUCUGCUGUGAGAACUCGAGGCUCAACCUCGAGACGUCGGCGGAAACCAUCUGGCUAGAGUCCGGAAGAGGAGAGUGGAAUUCCUGGUGUAGCGGUGAAAUGCGCAGAUAUCAGGAAGAACACCCGUGGCGAAGGCGGCUCUCUGGGACGGUACUGACGCUGAGACGCGAAAGCGUGGGGAGCGAACAGG